GAGUGGCCGCUGGCGGUCGGCCUACCACAUGCAAGUCGAACGGCAGCACAGUAAGAGCUUGCUCUUACGGGUGGCGAGUGGCGGACGGGUGAGGAAUACAUCGGAAUCUACUUUUUCGUGGGGGAUAACGUAGGGAAACUUACGCUAAUACCGCAUACGACCUACGGGUGAAAGCAGGGGAUCUUCGGACCUUGCGCGAUUGAAUGAGCCGAUGUCGGAUUAGCUAGUUGGCGGGGUAAAGGCCCACCAAGGCGACGAUCCGUAGCUGGUCUGAGAGGAUGAUCAGCCACACUGGAACUGAGACACGGUCCAGACUCCUACGGGAGGCAGCAGUGGGGAAUAUUGGACAAUGGGCGCAAGCCUGAUCCAGCCAUACCGCGUGGGUGAAGAAGGCCUUCGGGUUGUAAAGCCCUUUUGUUGGGAAAGAAAAGCAGCAGGUUAAUACCCCGCUGUUCUGACGGUACCCAAAGAAUAAGCACCGGCUAACUUCGUG
rnacentral:rRNA from 1 species